rnacentral:sRNA from 1 species
GCGUAAAAGCUUACCGCACUGUUGCCAAGGCGUAGGCCUGUCGCCUGAGAAGUACAAAACUUAGAUUUGUUUAUAAGAGGCAAAACGGGUUUCGUAUUUCAGACAGACCGCAUACAAGGCAGAUCAGAGACGCCAUGGAAAAUAACCUUAGCUCUGUACCAAUGGAAGGCUGCGGCUGAUCGAUUUGAAGGUAUUUCUGUGGAGUGGAGGUUUUUUGCCCCGAAUACGAAACAAGUUCGAUAAGAAAACUAUUUUUGAGUGGGUUGCAAAUAUCAUUGUAAGCCAAAAUCAAAAAAAAAAAACUACUUUACUUUGUCCAGCUUUAA